CGUAGGGUGCGAGCGUUAAUCGGAAUUACUGGGCGUAAAGUGUGCGCAGGUGGCCGCGCAGGUCGAGUGUGAAAUCCCCGAGCUUAACUUGGGAAUUGCGCUCGAAACUACGUGGCUCGAGUGUGGCAGAGGAAGGUGGAAUUCCACGUGUAGCGGUGAAAUGCGUAGAGAUGUGGAGGAACACCGAUGGCGAAGGCAGCCUUCUGGGCCAACACUGACGCUCAUGCACGAAAGCGUGGGGAGCAAACAGGAUUAGAUACCCUGGUAGUCCACGCCCUAAACGAUGAUGACUAGUUGUUGGGGGAGUUAAAUCCCUUAGUAACGCAGCUAACGCGUGAAGUCAUCCGCCUGGGGAGUACGGUCGCAAGAUUA
rnacentral:rRNA from 1 species